rnacentral:rRNA from 1 species
AUGAGAAAAGGUGAGAUGCAAAACUGUCCCAACACCGCCAUCUCCUUCAACAAGCUCGGCCUUUUUGAAGAUAUCGGGAAGCAAUUGAGGAACAACCUGGCUAAUACGGAGACCUCGAUACAUCUCCCAUACCUCCGCCGCGGGGAGGCCUGUCUCGAAGUCAUGGCAAAGGCUACCUUUCAUUGCUUCUAUGAGCUCUGGGUGGAAUGCCAAAGAUUGCACGGCCAGGAAUCCCUAGCAAGCAGCAAGCAGUUACUUCGCCAAUAUACUCAUUCGCAGCAUCGCUCUGGUCUCUGGCCAGUCAUGUUUGCAGAUUGUGGUGUUCAACUUUGGCGGACUAGAAAUGACACCGUUUUCAACAGAAUACAGACUCCCACUGUGGUGAUCAAAGUCAGGAUUGUGACAACCUUAGGCUGUGGAACUGCCCUUCAAGGAAGGAUUCAGAAAAGACCACGCUUCUUGCCUGGGUCAACAAAUUUACAGUCGAAUAGGGCAUAUUUUCCAGUUUUCAAUUCAGCCUUCGGCCAGUUCUUUUGUGGUUUCUAUUCUGUUCUCGUUCGUUUGGUUCUUCAUUCCAUCUUUUGGCUGUUCCCAGACCCCCAGUCUGUGCCCCUCUUUGUGCUUCCCGCCCCCUGUGGCUUUUCUGAAUAUAAGGUAGGGAGCUCUACCUUCUCUAAAAAAAUAUUUUAA